GGACCGGGUCGGACGUACCACCGGUGCACCGGUUGUUCCGCCAGGAGCACAGCCGGGUAGCCGCGUACGGAAGUGAUAAACGCUGAAGGCAUCUAAGCGUGAAACAUGCUUCAAGAUUAGAUAUCCAUAGUGCGAACUUGAAGGCCACUUAAAGACUAUGAGUUUGAUAGGUCGGAGGUGUAAGUGCAGUAAUGCAUUCAGCUGACCGAUACUAAUAGGCCGAAAGCUUGAACUAC
rnacentral:rRNA from 1 species